CGAUUCUUCUGCUUUUCUUUACUUUCCUCUCAUUUCUCUUCUUCCCCUUCCAUUCUCAAUCCGGUUCUCGUCUCCAGUCAAUCCUUCGUUGAUUUUCAGCAUACCCUGGGACCCUUAUUUCCAGGUACAUCUCUUCCUUUCUUUUUAGAGUUUUUAUUGCCAAUGUAUGCGCAAGGGCGUUUGCAGAUCUUAGUAUAUGUUUGAAUAUGAAACUUCUAGAUAUAUUUAAUUUCUGUUGAAUAUCGUAUAUAUAUGCUCCAAUAUGUGAACGAUCUUGACUUUUUGUUACACAUUUCUUGAUUAUUCUGAGAGAGCCUCCUUUUAUUAUAACCUUCGGCCAUUCCUAUUCCACUCCUACUUGGACCGCUUUCCUACAUGUGAUUGCUUCAGCUGCAAAUGCGAAAGUUACCCCAUGAUGGAUCUCUAAGCAGAAAGUAAGACAACCCAUUCUUCGUUUCUGACAACAAUCCCUGAGGCAGAUUGGUGGUGAUUCGCAUCAUACGCACCAUCAAAAUUAAUUUUUACGAAUUCAUUAGGUGGAUAACUCCAUCUUCUUAUCUCCUUCCCCUUUACUGGAUUUCUCAUUUCUAAACCAUUUAAUUCAGCCAUAUAGUUGUUGAUGAAAUCUGCUAUUUCCUGCCCUGUACUAUUUUUCUGCUCAUGUAUUCUUCGUUUCUGACAACAGAAGAGGCGGCUCUGGUAUGAAGUAAGCUGAUCAAAGAUCCAGGUAAUCCAUUGUAAAAAAAAUCCAUGUUAGGAUCUAGAAUAAAAUUUUGAAUUUUUAAUAGUGUCCAAACUUCUAUUGUGACAGGACAUUCGCGAAAAAUAUGGUCGAUUGUUUCAGCCAUUUCUCCACAUCGGGGGCAGCUUGUACUACUAACAAGUUUUCGGUGCUGCAUAUUAACCCUGUCGGCAAAUAGUUCCAUGAAAUUCUCCAUACUGUAACUUUGAUUUUAUUUGGAAGAUUUAGGAGUCAAAGUUUUUUGUAAAAAUUCCUGUAAUCAAUUUGUAAAGCGUAAGCUCUAGGAAUUUCAUCAAAAGUUUGUAAUAGUUUAUAGGCACUGCAGACCGAAAACUCGCCUGAAUACGCGCCUCUUCAGACAAGUAGAUCAUUGUGAGGUGUGUAUGCUAAAGGUAUCCGGAGGAUUUUUCCAGCAUCUUCCUUUGAAAAGGUAUUCUUUAUAAGUUCUCUUUUCCAUGUUCUCUCAUUACUGUUGAUCAACUCACUAGCCUUGACAUCACACAUACAAUUAACAACUGAAGAUAAUUUAACAUUAACAGCAUCUGGAAUCCAAGCAUUAGCAUUGAUAGAAAUAUUUGUACCUGUACCAACCCUCCAACAUAUUCUUUUUUUCCAAAAUACCCUUCACUGCCCAUAUGCUUUUCCAUAUAUAAGAACUGGUUUUCCCCAAUCGAGAAUUUAAAAAAUAUUCAUUUGUGAAAUAUUUUGUUUUAAAAACUCACAUAACCAAAGAAUCUUGAUUAGUAAUAAUCCUCCACCCUUGCUUAGCUAGUAAUGAAAUAUUGAAUUGAGCUAGAUUUCUAAAGUCCAUUCUCCCUCCUCUUUUGAUCGACAUAUAAAUUUCCAUUAACACUAGUGUAUCCCUUUCCUUCCCUAUCCUUUUUGCCACCAGAAUUUAGCGAAAAUAUUUUCUAACUCCUCACAUAAUAAUUUUGGUAGGAGGAAACAUAUCAUAGCAUAAGUUGGAAUUGCUUGAAGAACAGAUUUUAUAAAGACCUCAUUUUCCCCUUGUGAUAGUAACCUUGUACUCCAGCUUUCAAUUCUUGACUUAACUUUAUCUUUGAGAUUCUAAAAAGCUUUCUUCUUUUGUUUGCCUACAACAUUAGGGAGUCCUAGAUAUUUUUCCAAAUUUGUGGAGCAUCUCAUACCUAGUAAACUCGAGAUUUCUUCUGUCUCUUUCUGCUGUAUUUGAGCUAUAGAAAAUUGUCGAUUUGCUAAAAUUCACGCAUCGACCUGAUUGUUCAUAUUCUUUCAAAAUGUCUUUUAAAAUUCUUGCCCUUCUAUUUGUCGCUUCACCAAAUAGUAUACAGUCAUCUGUAAACAGCAAGUGCGAUAUUUCUGGUCAUUUUCUACUAACCCUCACUCACUUCAUCAAUCCCUCAGCUAUUGCUAAUCUUAUCAAAGAUGAGAUUCCCUUAUUGCAUAUUAAAAAAAAAGGGCUAAGCGGGUCACCCUGACGAAGCCCUCUAGUCGGCUUAAAAACAUUUCCUCUUCUCCCAUUGAUAUUCAUUGUAUAAGAGACUGUAGAGAUACAUUUCAUGAUUAAUGUCGCCCAUUCCAUUGUAAAUCCCAUUUGAAGCAUAACUUCCUUUAGAAAAGCCCACUUAACUUAUCAUAAGCCUUGUUCAUAUCUAGUUUUACUGCCAUAAGCCCUUUUUUCCCAGUUAGUUUUGACGUAGCAUAUGUAAUAGUUUAUAUGCUAUAAGCACAUUGUUAGUAAUUAAUCUUUCGGGAACGAAAGCACUUUGAGCUUUGUCAAUACAUUUUCCAAUGACUUCCUAAAGAUGAUUUGUAAAUGUUUUUGCCAUAAUUUUGUAUAAAAUUGUGCAUAAGCUGAUAGGUCUAAAAUUAACAAGACUUGUGGGAUUUGGUACUUUUGGGAUAAGUACAAUAUCUGUAAGGUUUAGAGAGUCAAAAUCCCUUCCAUCAUUCAGAAGUCCCAAGCAAAAAACUUUCAAGAGCUUUACCUACAAUGUGCCAAAAUCUUUGAAAAAAUAAAGCAGGAAAUCCAUCAUAACCUGGUGCUUUAGUGGGCCCUAUUCCUUUCAAAGCUGAAAAUACCUUUUCUGUCGUAAAUGGUAUUAGUAAAUCUGUAUAGAUAUCAGAUGAAAUAUUAGUAUUAAUGCCCUUUAGAAGGUGGGAUAAAUUCCCAAUUCCCUUUGACGAAAAUAAAUUCUAAAAGUAAUUUGAAGCGGCCUCAUUAAUCGCUGAUUCAUCAUAAAUUUCCUUCCCUUCAUCAGAUUCCAGCCUAGUAAUAGUGUUAAUUUGUCUACGAGCUAAGGCAUAUUUGUGAAAAAAGGCAAAAUUUUUAUCUUCUAAUUGAAGCCAAUUGGCUCGUGCCCUCUGUUCCCAAGACAUUUCGUCUUUAGCAAUCUCCAUAUUAAGUUGAAUUCUAGUAUCAAUCAGCUUUGCCAUUGUGUCAUCAUCCCUAUCGCUUGCCAGUAGAUCUUCAAGUUCCUUUGUGAACUUAGUCUUUAACCUAUCUCAACCCUGCUUUAUUGAGCUUGCCCACCUUAUAUCUGCAGCCUUCUAAACUUUUCAAUAAUAGAUCCAUUUGAUGACUCCCAUGAUUUUAUAAUCUCUCGUUCAAUAGAUGCCUUCAUGGUCCACCAUGCCUUUAAUUUGAAUCUUGGAAUCCCCUUAUAGUUCUUCUCAUUAUUAGUACUGAUAAGUAGGGGAUAAUGAUCUGAAAUCGAGUGUGUUAAAUGAUGAAUAAUUCCUUUUGGGAAAAGAUGCAUCCACUUUUCAUUCGCCACUCCCCUAUCCAGUUGCUCUUUAAUAUUUAUUUUCGGUAGAUUCCUCCCUUCCGUGUAAACCAAACCCCUGAAUACCCCAUGUCCAUUAAUUGACAUUCUUCUAAAACCUCACUUAAAGUUUUCAUUCUUUUCUCCUCCUUCGAUUAACGUCCACUUUUUUUUUAAAAGAAUACAUUAUUUCAUUAAAAUCACCUCAUACCAACCAUUGGUGGUUUUGAUCCUGACCCAACUUCCUUAACAAAUUCCACGAGACACUCUUAUUAUUAACAUAAAGUGAAUCGUAAAACCCUGUAAAGCUCCACUCUUCAUUGAAAUUGUCCUCUUUUAUCAUCACAUCAAUAUGGCUUUUUGAGAAAUUGUUUGGACAAACCGUAAUACCUGCUUUCUAUGCCAUACAAAUUUCAUCUCUAAAACCUUCAACUCCUACAUCAAUCCCAUUUUCAAAACCAUAUCUCCUCCUAAUUUUUUUCAUGCGCUUUUCGUCUAUUUUGGUCUCCAUAAGGAAGACUAUUUAGGGUUUAUGUUGCUUCAGCAAAUACUGAAGCCUUCUCACUGACCGUGAACUCCCCAAUCCACGAACGUUCUAGCAAAUGGUUUUCAUUGUGCCCGGUCGACUUGCCAUUUGGCAGUUGACGAUUUAUUUUGGUUGGUAAUACACCCUUGCUUGAGAAUUUUUACCAACAAAAUUAUGCCUCCUUCGAUAUGAAAGUCUUGGCCGUCGUACUUCAUUCUUUUUGCUUCCUCUUUACAGGAUUUUCCUUUGCCAUUGUCUUUAAUUUCUAUAUCCUCUGAUUUUCUUUUUCUCAAUAUACUCUCUCCGUUACAAAUAUCCACCUCUCUUACUACCUCAAUUCUCUUCCAACUCGAUUUCUUGGCUGGUUUCAAAAUUCCUGCGUAAUUAUUAUUUUCCCCAUUUGCUUUUUCUUCCACAACUAUCUCUUCCUCCUGUAUCAUCAUCCCUUUCUCUGUUUCUGUAAAUUGUAAACUAUCUUGGAUUUUUUGGGCCAUGUCACUUUUAUCCUUCUCUUGAAAAUUUAACUCAAGAAUCUUCUCUAUAUCACCUGUAUAUGAACAUUGAGGCUGCACCUUCUUUGAAAAGACAUUAAAAUUUAAACUCUCCCUUUCAAUAAAAUUUACUUCUGCUUUUAAUGCUAAAGAAUAAAGAAGAUCAUCUCUGAUUUUAUUUUUUUUACAGGUGUAAAAUUGAGGCAUUCGAUGAGCCCAUGCUCCACAUUCCAUAGUCAAACCAGAAUGUUGGUAAUUUUUCAUAUUUAAAAGGGAUUCAGGACUUACUUUGAUUUUCAGUUGAGACGAAAAUACCCCUGCGCAAGGGUUUUUGCACAUCUAACUGAACUCUAAGCUGACAGAAUUCACCAUUAAUUGUAGAUCUCAGAACGCCUCCAAAAGUAACCCCAAUAGCAUGCAUUAAAUCUUUUUUUAUCAAAUUCUGGUAAACAUGGUCCAAUUUUAAUCCAAAACGGGGAUGAAUUAAGCCUAAUAUGACUUAUUUCCAUCGGUUUAUUCAACUGAUCAAAGAGCAUUAAAUUUUUCUGAAACAACCAUGAUUGCCC
rnacentral:lncRNA from 1 species